CCCCUUCUUCUAUUUGAUCAAGAUGGAUAGCAAAAAAGCAUGAAUAGGCCUACUGGGAUGGAAGGAGAGAAGGACUGAACGAGAAAAGGAAAUACCUCUUUGUUUACCUUGGAAUGAAUUGCUCGACUACUUAGAUCGGAAGAGCACAC